rnacentral:tRNA from 1 species
GCCAUGUAGCUCAGUGGAUAGAGUGUCAGCCUGCGGGCUGAAGGGUGCUGGUUUGAUUCUGGUCAAGAGCG